rnacentral:rRNA from 1 species
CCUANGGGUGGCUGCAGUUGGGAAUAUUGCACAAUGGACGACAGUCUGAUGCAGCGACGCCGCAUGAUCGAAGAAGCCCCUCGGGGUGUAAAGAUCUUUUUUAGGGGACGAUUGUGACGGUACCCUAAGAAUAAGGGCCUGCUAACUACGUGCCAGCAGCAGCGGUAAUACGUAGGGCCCGAGCGUUAUCCGGAUUUAUUGGGCGUAAAGAGCAUGUAGGUGGAUCUUCAAGUCGGUUUUCAAAGCCCGGGGCUCAACUCCGGUUCUGGAACUGAUACUAAAGAUCUCUGAGUAUAGUAGGGGCAAGCGGAACUCCCGGUGUAGCAGUGAAAUGCGUUGAUAUCGGGAAGAACACCAAUGGCGAAGGCAGCUUGCUAGACUAUUUCUGACACUGAGAUGCGAAAGCGUGGGGAGCGAACGGGAUUAGAUACCCCGNUANUC